rnacentral:rRNA from 1 species
UGGGGAAUAUUGGACAAUGGGGGCAACCCUGAUCCAGCAAUGCCGCGUGUGUGAAGAAGGUCUUCGGAUUGUAAAGCACUUUCGACGGGGACGAUGAUGACGGUACCCGUAGAAGAAGCCCCGGCUAACUUCGUGCCAGCAGCCGCGGUAAUACGAAGGGGGCUAGCGUUGCUCGGAAUGACUGGGCGUAAAGGGCGUGUAGGCGGUUUACACAGUCAGAUGUGAAAUCCCCGGGCUUAACCUGGGAGCUGCAUUUGAUACGUGUAGACUAGAGUGUGAGAGAGGGUUGUGGAAUUCCCAGUGUAGAGGUGAAAUUCGUAGAUAUUGGGAAGAACA